rnacentral:rRNA from 1 species
AUAUGUUUGUAUCAAUGACUUACCCAUGCAUGUCUCAGAGUGAGUUUAAAUAUGGUGAAUCUGAGAACGAGUCAUUAAUGCCGUUAUAGUUUAUUUGAUGGUCAUUCUUACAUGGAUAAGGGUUGGAAUAUUAGAGCUCAUACAUGCAUCAAUACAUGAGGUAGGAAGUUGUUGUGGUUAUCUGUUACGGAACCAUCCCAUGUUCUGCAUUGUUUUGUGGUGACUCAUUAUGACUAGAUGAAUCGGAUGGAAUGGCUGUAGGUUGCGAUCAUUCGAAGUUUGUGAUCGUAUCAGCUUCCGAUGGUAGUGGUAUUGGCUUAUCUGUGGCAACGACGAGUCACGGAGAAUCUAGGGUUGGUUCUGGAGAGGGAACCUGAGACACUGCUAACACAUGUUUGGAGAGGCAGCAGGAGCGCAAAAAGUCCCAUCGUUACACAGGGAGGUAGUGACAAGAAAUAACAAUACAGGGCAAUAAUGUGCUCUGUAAGCGGAUUGAGUAGAAUAAAAAUUUAAUUAUGAGUAUCAAU